ACUCACUCUCUCUGUCUGUCUCCCUCCCUACUCCCUACCCUAUCACCCCUCUUCCAGCCAAUCUCCCCUUCCCUGAACCUGCCAAAGACCCAGAGAAUCUCCUAGACUCUCCCAUUGCUGACGACUUCAUCCACCACCUCCACCAGGCUGACCUUACACCCUCAUCUCCUGGGAGUAGGAGGAGGCCCAGCUGUGAGUCAAAAUGCCCAGGAUCCCCAGGAAGGAGGAAGCCUAAGAGAAAGGCAGAAAGGGGAGAAGAGGGGAUGACGUCUCCGUCCCAGCUGGAAGAGGAUAUUUUGUUGAGGAAGGAAUGCUAUUUAUAUGUUCCUUACUCCUGGUGUGACUCAUUUUUGCUGACCUGAAUUUAUGACAUUCCCUGGAGCCUGGCAUCUUGACCUUCUCUUUCUCACUUUAAGGGAGGAGACCACCCCUCAUAUUGUCUUAUGCCCAAUUUCUGCCUCCAAAGAAAGAAGAAGUAAAAACUAAAAGGCAGAAAUGGAAUCCACAGGCAGAUAGCCCAGCACUGCACCCUGGUUAAAAAUCAACCCCUGACCUAACUGCUUGUGUUAUCUAUAGAUUGCCAGACAUUGUAUAGAAAAGCAUUGUGAAAAUCCCAGUCCUGUUCUGUUCCGUUCUGAUUACCUGUGCAUGCAGCCCCCAGUCACGUACCCACUGUUUGUUCAAUCAAUCAUUACCCCCUCAGAGAUGUGAGCCCUUAAAAAGGACAGGAAUUGCUCACUCGGGGAGCUCGGUUUUUGGAGACAUGAAUCCGCCGAUGCUCCCAGCUGAAUAAAGCCCUUGCCUUUCACAA